rnacentral:misc_RNA from 1 species
AUGGUUAAAAAUUUCAUCGUCGCGCAGGCUGCAAUCGUGCUCGUUAGCAACCAAUCAUAUCUAAAUUCUUGUUUAGACUCAUAGAUUAACGAAUUAAUAAAAUAAUUAUUACUUUUUAUUCUAUGAAGACUUGAACAGACGUCUUCUAUAUCAUUGUUUAUAGUAUUUGAUAGUGCUUUUUCUGUUUACCUACUAGCGUACACUCUACUCUUUCUCAGUCUUUCACUUUCGAGCUUUGGCAUUUGUUGUCAUAUUCGGGUCUGAAGUUUUGACGACUUACUAAACGAGAUGGCUGGUAGAUCGCGAGGACGUAACAAUAACGGCAGGUUUCACAACAUCAAUUCACGUAAUGAACGGAAUAAUGAACAUGAUGAUCGAACUUCAAGACCUAGCACAAGAGGAGGUGGUGGCUACUUAGAUCGUCAUGGUUAUAAUAAAAAAGUGACAUUCAAAGCAAACAACCGUGGAGGUAAUAAUUUUCGUAAAAGUUGGGAGGGUAAAACUGAUCUAGUUCGUGAUCAAUUGGAUAGUGAAUAUUCUAAUCGAAAUGGACCACCUAGAAAUAAUUCUGGUCGGCGGUCUUUUCCUGAAAGAAAUCAUGGCCGCGGUGGUCAUGGUAACUUCAGAAACUUAUCAUGGUCUUUAAAAGAAAGUAGUACUGGAUGGUACUCAGUAUUUGUGCCAAAUGUUGAAGAUAGUGAUGAAGUGUUAAAAAUAAUACAAACUUAUAUUACACCUGUUGUAUUUUAUCCAUAUAAUAAACAAUAUUUUGAUAAUGCAUUAAGAUUUCUUGUUGAUGAUUAUAAGGUUGCUAAAGCAUUGCACAACACUAGCUAUAAGAUAACACAAAGAGAUGAUCGAAAAUUAGUUAUAAAGGUAUUAUUAUAUUCACCUCCACGUGGUCCUAUAUCAUUCACACCAGUAUCCAAUGAAGUCAGAGAAAAAAUGAUAGAAGCUAUGGCAACCCGAUACAAUCCUAGUACCAAGAGUUUGGAUUUGUCACGUUUUUAUGCUUGUUCAUUAUUUACCGAUAAUCAACUGUUUGUACCAUUAAAUCGACCAGCAGUUCUUUUGGCAGCAUUAAAUAUAGUUGCUCAACAUACCAAACAUGAUUUGUAUGGUUUGAGUCUUGAAAAUAAUCACAUUUACUUAGGUGAAGGUCUUAUAUGGAUACGUAGAUUGUUUCCUGAACUUAAAGUGUUGGAUUUGGCUGGGAACAAAUUUUCUGAUUUAAAAGAACUGAGAUGUCUCUCUGGUUAUACUAUUGAAGUGCUGAACUUGUCAAGAAAUCCAGUGUGUGAUACAGAGGACAAAGAGCGUUACAAACGGGAUGUACAACAAUUUUUUCCUAUGCUAACUAAGUUGGAUAAUUCAGAACUGCCAUCUCGGUACAGUGCGAUUGGAUCCAAAUUUAAAAUGCCAAUUAAUUUGGGUAAUUGUUACCCAAUACCAGAAGGCCAUAAUCCCGAACUACCAAAUCCGGUGAUGUCUUUAGUUGAAUCUUUUCUCGCUCAAUAUUAUGAACGGUAUGAUAAUCAAGUAUCCAGACAAAUGGUUUCAGAAGCUUACCAUGAAAACGCUACUUUUACAUUAUCUAGUGGUUUUCUAUUUAAAAAUGUUAAAGGAAGUUUAUCACAAUACCUACAUGAAGGUAGAAAUUUUUUAAAGUCUGACAGAAAUAAGCAAGGAAGAAGUCGGUUUUUACAUAAAGGCAAAGAAAACAUAAUAAAUUUUCUUGACAAGUUACCUAAAUCCAAGCAUGAUCUUGGAUCAUUCAUAGUUGAUGUUCCUUUGGCAACUGCUGCAAUGGUUCAGAUUGUACUAAAUGGUGUGUUUGCUGAAGACUUUAAAGAAACCAACUAUAGACAUGUAUACCGAUCAUUCUGCAGAACAUUCUGUAUAGUGCCUGUAGGAAGUGGUUGGAGUAUAAUAAGUGAUAUGCUUUUUAUAACAAUAGUUACUGAUGAGUUAUUAUUAGAAACUUCAAAACGGUUUCAUAUUUUCAAACCAAAACCAGUGUCAUCAAAAAGAAAUAAUUCUAAUGGCAACAGUAACCAAAAUGUAACAAUGUUUAUGGAGGAUACUGAUGAAAUGGCUGGCAUGGAAUCAUCAUCAUCCAGUCAACAAUCCACACCCAAUUACCCACCACCAACUUAUCAGCAAUCCACAUUUUCAUCUUAUCAGUCUUCACAAAUGACUGCUCCACAGCAGCCAUCUCCUUAUCAAGGGAGUACAUCUACUCCACAGAUCCAACAAAUGGCACCUGCUGCUACUGUUAAUUUCCAACCAGACUCACAACGGCAGCCAACUGCCUCAUUUAAUAUGUUUAACUCAAUAUCACCUUCAACAGCAGCAUUUCCUACAACUUCAACACCUGCCUCCUUGCCAGUAAAUCAAUUGUCUACUGAAGCGCCUGUAAAUUUGAUCAGCGAUGUUAAUGCAAAUCCUGAUAAGAUGUCUCUGGUUAAGAGUUUUUCAAAUGAGUCUGGAAUGAAUAACGAGUGGGCUAAAAAGUGUUUAGAAGAAAAUGGAUGGGAUUAUGCUAAAGCUGCUGCAUGUUUUUCAGAACUGAAAGCCAAUAUUCCACCUGCGGCUUUUAUACAUUAAUGAGAAUAGUCUGAUAUUAAUGAUUCAUUAAAUUGUUUUGGUUUAUUUUUCCAUAUUGUCAACAAUAUAAAUUUAAAAAAAAAAAAUAUACUUGGUCUAU